UCUGGCGUCUUCGGCGUCCGAGUUGUAAUUUGGAGGGGCAUCUUCGGGAGCGGCACCGUCCUAUGUUCCUAGGAACAGGACGUCACAGAGGGUGAGAAUCCCGUGCCUGGGCGGUUGUCCCGUUCCCAUGUGAAGUGUCUCCGACGAGUCGAGUUGUUUGGGAAUGCAGCUCAAAAUGGGUGGUAAGUUUCAUCUAAAGCUAAAUAUUGGCGAGAGACCGAUAGCGCACAAGUAGAGUGAUCGAAAGAUGAAAAGCACUUUGAAAAGAGAGUUAAAAAGUACGUGAAAUUGUUGAAAGGGAAGCGCUUGAGAUCAAACUCAGUCAUUGGUGAUCAGCCGUGCUUCUGCUCGGUGCACUUUGCCUUUGGCUGGGCCAGCAUCGGUUCUGACGGCGGGAAAAAUGGCUAGGGAAUGUAGCUCUCUUCGGGGAGUGUUAUAGACCUGACCUGCAAUGCUGCCAGUCGGGACCGAGGACCGCGCU
rnacentral:rRNA from 1 species